AAUUGCCUACGGGAGGCAGCAGUGGGGAAUAUUGCACAAUGGGGGGAACCCUGAUGCAGCGACGCCGCGUGGGUGAAGGAGCACCUCGGUGCGUAAAGCCCUAUCGGCAGGGAAGAAACAGACGGUACCUGACUAAGAAGCCCCGGCUAACUACGUGCCAGCAGCCGCGGUAAUACGUAGGGGGCAAGCGUUAUCCGGAUUCACUGGGUGUAAAGGGUGAGUAGGCGGCAUGGUAAGCCAGAUGUGAAAGCCUUGGGCUUAACCCGAGGAUUGCAUUUGGAACUAUCAAGCUGGAGUACAGGAGG
rnacentral:rRNA from 1 species